CCCCUCUCAAGGUUGCACCUGGAGAGUUUCCAGUCCUCUACCAGUCUUGGCUACAGGAGGGAGAGUCAAGCAGAGGCCUGUCUAUUCGAUUCCUAGCUUGGCCAGUGGCUAGUGAGUGGAAGGCCAUCUGCUACAAGU